rnacentral:rRNA from 1 species
UACGUAGGGCGCAAGCGUUGUCCGGAAUUAUUGGGCGUAAAGAGCUCGUAGGCGGCUUGUCACGUCGAUUGUGAAAGCCCGAGGCUUAACCUCGGGUCUGCAGUCGAUACGGGCUAGCUAGAGUGUGGUAGGGGAGAUCGGAAUUCCUGGUGUAGCGGUGAAAUGCGCAGAUAUCAGGAAGAACACCGACGGCGAAGGCAGCUCGCUGGGACGGUACUGACGCUGAGGCGCGAAAGCGUGGGGAGCGAACAGG